CAAAUCCCUAAAAGACCAUCCCAGUUCGGAUUGCAGGCUGAAACCCGCCUGUAUGAAGUUGGAAUCGCUAGUAAUCGCGGAUCAGCAUGCCGCGGUGAAUACGUUCCCGGGCCUUGUACACACCGCCCGUCACACCAUGAGAGUCGGGAACACCCGAAGUCCGUAGUCCAACCUCGUGAGGACGCUGCCGAAGGUAGGAUUGGCGACUGGGGUGAAGUCGUAACAAGGUACC
rnacentral:rRNA from 1 species